CGAGCGGUUGCGCUGCGCGGCGAGCUGCUCGAGCUCGCCGCGUUCGGUCGGCGUCAGCCCGACGUAGACGGGCUUGUUCGACAUCGUGCCGCGCGGC
rnacentral:tRNA from 1 species